CAGCAGUCCUGGCGUGAGUGACGUGAGGGUGGACAGACCGCCGCGUGUCCGCUGUGCUUCUGUCCCUUCAGCCACGUGGCCCCUGUGCCUCACGCAGGGACGAAAGAGGACCACUGUUCACUCCUGGCUUUCAGAUUCUAUUUCUUUCUUUAGGGGAUUCACGCAGGACCAGCACAGCCAUCUCUGUGGAGUGUGUGGUUCAGACACGGGCAGUCAGUGCGCCCGUAAACUGCUGGCCUUCUGCUUGGCAGCUGCAGGUUCUGACCUGAGUCCUUCUGCACUCGGCACCUGACCUGGGGACAACGCCACGGCUGUGCAUUAGCAGGUCGGCGGGGCGCUCAUGUCCGUGAUCGAGUCUUUACAUUCCAGGUGAUGACACAUCCUGAUCACCAGAUGAGCUCACUCCUCCGUGACCGGUAGCUACAGACAAGCAGUCCGACUCUUUCCUGAAGGAAUCAAUUUCUAUUUUAAUCUUCCGGAUGACUUUUAUUUACCUUACUCAGAACACUACCAAAUGUGAAUAGCAUGUUCUCACUGACCUGUGUGUGUUUUUUAUUUUGCACUGUGUAUGUUCUUAGGUGAA